AUGACUCUGAUCUGCGUCCUCAUCUGGACUCUCCUCUGCUGCUGCUUCACAGAGUCCAGAGGUCAGGUCACAGUGACUCAGCCUGGAUCAGUGACUUCUGCUCUGGGAGGCUCCGUCACCAUCACAUGUAAAACCAGUCAGAAUGUUGCUUACUCCAACUAUUUAGCCUGGUAUCAACAGAGAGAUGGAGGAACUCCUAAACUGCUCAUUUAUCGGACUAGCACCAGACAAUCAGGAACACCAAGUCGUUUUACAGGCAGUGGAUUAAACUCUGACUUCAGUCUGACCAUCAGUGGAGUUCAGGCUGAAGAUGCAGCAGUUUAUUACUGUCAGAGUGCUCAUUACAUCAACAAUCUGUGGUCGUUCACACAGUGA